AACGAACGCUGGCGGCAGGCUUAACACAUGCAAGUCGAACGCCCCGCAAGGGGAGUGGCAGACGGGUGAGUAACGCGUGGGAACAUACCCUUUCCUGCGGAAUAGCUCUGGCAAACUGGAAUUAAUACUGCAUACGCCCUACGGGGGCAAGAUUUAUCGGGGAAGGAUGGGCCCGCGUUGGAUUAGCUAGUUGGUGGGGUAAAGGCCUCACAAGGCGACGAGCCAGAGCGGGUCCGAGAGGAUGAUCAGCCACAUUGGGACUGAGACACGGCCCAAACUCCUACGGGAGGCAGCAGUGGGGAAUAUUGGACAAUGGGCGCAAGCCUGAUCCAGCCAUGCCGCGUGAGUGAUGAAGGCCUUAGGGUUGUAAAGCUCUUUCACCGAUGAAGAUAAUGACGGUAGUCGGAGAAGAAGCCCCGGCUAACUUCGUGCCAGCAGCCGCCGUAACAC
rnacentral:rRNA from 1 species